UACGUAGGGUGCGAGCGUUAAUCGGAAUUACUGGGCGUAAAGCGUGCGCAGGCGGUUCGUUGUGUCUGUGGUGAAAGCCCCGGGCUUAACCUGGGAAUGGCCAUGGAAACUGGCGAGCUGGAGUGUGGCAGAGGGGGGUGGAAUUCCGCGUGUAGCAGUGAAAUGCGUAGAAAUGCGGAGGAACACCGAUGGCGAAGGCAGCCCCCUGGGUUGACACUGACGCUCAGGCACGAAAGCGUGGGGAGCAAACAGG
rnacentral:rRNA from 1 species